GACGAACCGAGCGAACGUUGUUCGGAGUCACUGGGCUUAAAGGGCGCGUAGGCGGGUGGUCAAGUCCGGGGUGAAAUCCUCCGGCUCAACCGGAGAACUGCCUCGGAUACUGGGCGUCUCGAGUGUGGUAGGGGUAUGCGGAACUAUCGGUGGAGCGGUGAAAUGCGUAGAGAUCGGGAGGAACACCAGAGGCGAAGGCGGCGACCUGGACAGUGACUGACACUCAACUACGAAAGCGUGGGGAGCAAACAGG
rnacentral:rRNA from 1 species